GUGCUUAUUUCAGCAGCACAAAUAGUAAAAUUCGAACGAUACAGAGAUUAGUAUGGCUCCUGAGCAAGGAUGACAUGAAAAUUUGUGAAGUGUUCCAUAUUAAA
ensembl:snRNA U6 U6 spliceosomal RNA